CCCUUAGUUUGAUCCUGGCUCAGAUUGAACGCUGGCGGCAUGCUUUACACAUGCAAGUCGAACGGCAGCGCGGGGAGCUUGCUCCCUGGCGGCGAGUGGCGCACGGGUGAGUAAUACAUCGGAACGUGUCUUCUAGUGGGGGAUAACUGCCCGAAAGGGCAGCUAAUACCGCAUGAGACCUGCGGGUGAAAGCGGGGGAUCGCAAGACCUCGCGCUGGAAGAGCGGCCGAUGUCCGAUUAGCUAGUUGGUGAGGUAAAGGCUCACCAAGGCGACGAUCGGUAGCUGGUCUGAGAGGACGACCAGCCACACUGGGACUGAGACACGGCCCAGACUCCUACGGGAGGCAGCAGUGGGGAAUUUUGGACAAUGGGGGCAACCCUGAUCCAGCCAUGCCGCGUGCAGGAUGAAGGUCUUCGGAUUGUAAACUGCUUUUGUCAGGGACGAAAAGGGAUGCGAUAACACCGCAUUCCGCUGACGGUACCUGAAGAAAAGCACCGGCAACUCU
rnacentral:rRNA from 1 species